UGAUGCGGUCAUACCAAGGCUACUACACCAGAUCCCAUCAGAACUCUGAGGUUAAGCGCCUUUGGGCCGGAAUAGUACUGGGAUGGGUGACCU
rnacentral:rRNA from 1 species